AGUAAAAGAAUUUUAGCAGACGCUACUGAGUAAGCCCGGCGAGGAAGUAUACUUCAGGAGACAAAAGACACACUCCAAAACAAUCCUGUGGACGUUUCUCAAACAGGAUCUUAUUAUGUGCAUGCUGCACUAAGGAAACAAAAUUCAUCCAGAGAUUUGAAAACAUCGAUUGUCUGCCAUUGGAUUUGUUAUUUUACAACAAAAGCUACUUUUUAAAUAUCGUCUCUCUUGGAUAUUUUAAUUCUCCAUUCGUGUUGUUUUUAUCGCUGUUAUGAUGAUUUAGGCGUAUAAGCCAAAGCGGAUAUGUCUGACACGUCCAGAGAGCAAACGCCGGCCAAUGGCCCGGCCUCCUUAUCGGAGACGCAGGGAAGCGGAGAGAGCGCCGGCGGCCGCUCCGAGCACUUUGCCUUCCCGCAGCCGAACGAUGGGGACCCGUUAAGGUCAGGGAUUUCCAUGUCGAAUAGUCUUCAUGGUUACCAGUCGAGGUCACCGAUGUCCCGAACCUUCUCCAGGUCCUCUAGUGGCUAUUUUUCAGUCGACAGCGAUUCUGUGCCAAGUUCCCCUCUAAUGCCUAAUAUUUCCGAAGCGCAAGACAACCAAAAUGAUGAAGUAUGGUUUGCCGACCCUAACCACCAACACGCGCGAAUAGCAGCACCCGGAGCCAUGCGACCGGAGGAGAUGUCGGUCGCUCGAGAGCUGCGACGCAUUGGAGACGAGUUCAAUCGCCUAUAUUUUCAUGGGUGUGUUUCCUCACGAGUUCCUGCCAGUCUCCUGAGGGAAAUGCCCUCGCUGCUUAUCACAGUCACUCAGCACGCCGAGUGAAUGCAGCCCAGAGCUACAGGCCACCUGGUUCAGGUCAUCUGCUGCCGAGUCUCUGAGACGUAGAGCUCACCGGAUGACCAGGCAGAUGCCAGUUCCUGUAUUGGAAUGGGUUAGGUGGCAACAACAACGCCGUUCUCAACGAGCACGCCGUCAUCGUGUGGAUGAACGACCUUAUUGGAUGGUUAAUGGAUCUUUUCCUUCGGAGAAGAUGAUUGACACAUUCAACCCCCAGCAGACAUGUAGCAGCAACCCCAACCCUCUUCUUCCUUGUAUAUAUGUACAUAAUAAGACAUGACAGCAGUGCUGCUCUUCCGCAACCUCUCCAGGCGUCUGUUGCCUAUCGGGAAUCCAUGGCCCUCUAUGGGUUGACUCACAGCAGAGUUUCCUGCGUUCACGUGGAAAGCUGAGCCAUUAGAUGCUGUGCACGUGACUAUGACGUCAGCUCUUAUAUAUGAAGCCUUCGUUGUCUGUGUGCCGUUGUAAUGUCUCUUGUUAUUUCUGUUCUGUUGGUUUUUGUCUUAUCGAUUUUUUUUAUCUUGUCUGUUUCUUUGCUUGCCUUACUUUAUAUUUAUUUUCACUAUAUUUAAUUUGUAAGUUUUGUGUAUAUUUUAAUGAACGUGGACGUUGGUCGGUCAAGCGGUGAAGUUGUUAGGCGUGUUUGACUGCACGGGGCCAUGCGCAGACCGACCUCGCGAGAAGCUGACGUCACACACUGGCCGGUCUGCGCAGCACCUCGUGAAAUCAAACGCAGUAUUUCUGCCUGUCCCAGUUUGCACUUGCAUAGUCUAUAUACAAACGGCAUAAAAUUUUAUAAAAGUGUCCCAUUACAGAGGUCAGACAUAAACAGUUCUCCAUAAAUGAAGUUACAGUGAUUAAAAACAUGACAGAAACAUAUGGAAAUGUAAACAACUUGUAUAGUCACAAACCAUCUGCGUAAUGAAUUAAGUUACCUGUGGAUAAUCUUUCGUGGAUUUUGACAUCGUCUUUUAAACCAGAAGAACAUUCUUCUCACGUCCUUGCCCCUUUCACACGACUCUGCCUUCAGUUGAAAAGUAUGGACCAACGCAUGCUGCCUCAGUGCUGCUGAUUGAUACGCAGGGCAGGUGAAGCUUUUCAAUCAAGGACGCGUAAAAUGUAGAGAAAUACAUUGUAAAACUCACGCAUUACGUGUUAUUUUCUCUGCCCAGUAAUCACAACUCAUUUACCGACAGUAAGCAGACAUCACUUAGUUGCAAAUUAUAUCAGAGAGUUGCCGCUUACUGAUUACGGAACGCGCCCGGUUGUCAGCGGUUUCCGCAUGGUCUUAAAGUCCUCCCGAAGCAAUGCUGGCUUCAGAAUAUUUUCCAAAAAUCUGAGCUAUUUUGUGUGGGAUCAGAGAUGUUGAAUUAAUCAAAAGAUUUUAAUCCGUUCCGAGGUCUAAUACAUUACCAUUGCUUUUAACACUUCCUACUUUUCUCAGCUAUAUCGCAGCGACGCUUCAAUUUCUCUCGCGAGUCGUGUGAAAGGUCGCCAGGAUCACAUUGAGCUACUAGUAGAACAACAUUGUGAAAACGUUAUUUUUACCAGUCGCUAAAUAAAUCAUCCCACAUGAAAAAAAUAUAAUGUAGUAUUUAUCAUAGUAAACUGUAGUGAGUUUUAUGUUAUUUUUUUUAAAGUUUAAUCAAAUUGACCAUUGAUUUUCCACUUCCAAUUUUAAAUUUGUUAAAUGACUAGUGAUGAGUUGCUAUCAUUUUAAAGUUGAUUACAGUUUUUAAAUUGAUUAGUUUAAGUAACAAAAAAUAAAACAUGUUGACAUGACAAGAAUAAUUUUUAACAGUGUACACUUGUUAAUGUAUACUACAGUAUUCUAGUAGGCUACUAUCUAUAGCUUGAUAAAGUGUCCACUAUAGUAUACUUUAAUUUUUACUAUAGUAAAGAUUUAAAACACUAUAGUAUUUAGGAAUUUUACUACAGUGUGCUGUAGUAAAUACUAAAGUAUACUACAGUAUUUUCAUGUGGGAUAUGGGACAGGCAAAUAGUAAGUUCAUGUAAUCAACGUGGGCAUAGUUGUUUGGACAUUGUAAACAUUCCAGAUGAAAUGUUUUGGUUUGUUCAGUUCUUUUUGUUUGGUUUGUUAUUUUGUUUAUUAGGGAUGAGAAAUGAGAACAAAAUGAAAUUCUGGGCAUAUAAUUCCAUUCAUGUUCCAACUGCAUGUCCGUCAGCCUGUUUCUGUUAAUCAAGAUUACCUGGAUUUUAUAAUCUAGAUGCUUGCUAUUGUGGACAGUUUUCUUCUCAAUGGAGGAACCUAAUUUUAAGUGCCUUGCUCAAGGACCGAGUGCUAAAUGAUUUUUUGGUUACACCAAACUCGGGAAUGAAUUUGUCGGUUGUCUGUAUCCACUAGUGGAGAUGGUGUUGUAGACCAUCAGCACACAUUACAACCACUGUUUAAUAUCAGCCUUACCUGAGUUUAAAAAAAAACUGGCCUGUCCUUCAACAAGCCUCAGGGACUGUAGGAAAUAAUACCUGUGGAAAAUUCUUGAACAAAACAGUCUUCCAAACAUACUUUGACUCAUAGCAUCUCUUUCGUUGGCUUUGCCUGUUUAUUACCGUUAAACUCAGUAUUUCAUUAAUCAUUGCACAGGGCUCAGGAUGAGUCUCCAUGUAUGUUGCUUUAAGAAUGACGUUUAUUAAAAACUCAAGUAAAUAUAGACUGAUGUAUUGACCAUCUACCAUAAAAGGUAUUGCUGAAUUAAUAUUUCGAUAAUAAGUUGUGUGUGUAAAGAUUUGGCGGUUAGACGUUCCAUAGAGUGGAAAAUGAAAGGCCCUGUGUUAUAACGUGUGUUUUUAUAUCUAUAUCGGUUACAUUUUUUUUCACUUUGCCAAAAUGAUAGUUGUUUUAGUCUGCCUUACUGUUGCAGGUUUACCACAUACCAAAGACCUCAUGUUUCAAUACUGUCGGUAUCGUACAUGCAUUGUAUAAUGUGUCAUCAUCCAUGUAGUCGGUCUCUGUGCCGCUGAAGUUUUCCAGCAGCGUUCUCGUUCCCUAGCCCUGUGAUUCCAGAACAAAAAAAAUUCUAGGGAAAAAUUCAUAAAAUUUCAGGCCAACCUGUGUAUUUCUCACUGGACCUCUGACUGAACAUCUUCAGUUUAGUUGCACUGAACGUCCGCAUAACCCUGACCCGACGCCACCCAGGACCCAGUACAUUGUAGCACAAUGUCAUUUUUUUGUUUAUUUGUUUGUUGUUUGUUUGUUUUAUGUUAAAUGCAUCUUUUUGUAUUUUGCACUGAUUCAUUUCUGUGCUAAUUGUGCAAUACUGCUGUAAAUAAAGCAACCUUUUCACCUUUCUAA